rnacentral:misc_RNA from 1 species
UGUGUCAGCUUCAACAAAACG